AAUUUAAAAAAUUGAUAAUGUCAAGGGACAAAUGCUGAAAUGAAGGCCCAAGCAAUUGCCCUGGAAUCAUGGCAGAGAAUCCCUUGGGUCCUUAAACUCUGUGCCCAGGACAUCCCUGGCAUCCUGGAAAAAGUGUGAACCUCUUCUGAAACUCACCAACUCUGGCUCAGCACAGCCCAGCCAACAUUUAUCAUGCCCUGCACUGCACCAAGAAACUGGAAAGGCAUUGGAGUUAC